rnacentral:rRNA from 1 species
CCUACGGGUGGCAGCAGUCGAGAAUCAUUCACAAUGGGGGAAACCCUGAUGGUGCGACGCCGCGUGGGGGAAUGAAGGUCUUCGGAUUGUAAACCCCUGUCAUGUGGGAGCAAAUUAAAAAGAUAGUACCACACGAGGAAGAGACGGCUAACUCUGUGCCAGCAGCCGCGGUAAUACAGAGGUCUCAAGCGUUGUUCGGAAUCACUGGGCGUAAAGCGUGCGUAGGCUGUUUCGUAAGUCGUGUGUGAAAGGCGCGGGCUCAACCCGCGGACGGCACAUGAUACUGCGAGAAUAGAGUAAUGGAGGGGGAACCGGAAUUCUCGGUGUAUCAGUGAAAUGCGUAGAUAUCGAGAGGAACACUCGUGGCGAAGGCGGGUUCCUGGACAUUAACUGACGCUGAGGCACGAAGGCCAGGGGAGCGAAAGGGAUUAGAUACCCUUGUAGUC